CCCGACUGCUAUCGGAUUGAGAUUUAGCCACGCGAGUCGAACGUCCCCCUCCUGCGGGGGGCGUGGCGUACGGCUCAGUAACACGUAGUCAACCUGCCCUGGAGACACGGACAACCCCGGGAAACUGGGACUAAUCCGUGAUAGGUCACCUCAUCUGGAAGGAGAGAUGGCCCAAAGGGGCGCGCGGGCUUCUUCUGCGCGUUCGCUCCAGGAUGGGACUGCGACCGAUCAGGCUGUUGGCGGGGUAAAGGCCCACCAAACCUGUAACCGGUACGGGCCUUGAGAGAGGUGGCCCGGAGAUGGACACUGAGAAAAGGGUCCAGGUCCUACGGGGCGCAGCAGGCGCGAAACCUUCGCAAUGCGCGAAAGCGUGACGAGGUUAAUCCGAGUGAUUUCCGCUGAGGAGACCUUUUGUCGGCUGUAAAUAGGCCGGCGAAUAAGGAGAGGGCAAGCCUGGUGU
rnacentral:rRNA from 1 species